ncrna:unclassified sequences L13-Bacteroidia ribosomal protein leader
GGGGAGACCCCUUAGACUCCCCGCACGGGAGUGUUAAUAGCGGUGUGUUUGGCCGCACAUCGUGGUUAGUGAAUC